rnacentral:rRNA from 1 species
AUACGGGAGGAUGCGAGCGUUAUCCGGAUUCGAUUGGGUUUAAAGGGUGCGUAGGCGGUUUUUUAAGUCAGUGGUGAAAUCCUGCGGCUCAACCGUAGAACUGCCAUUGAAACUGAAAAACUUGAAUAUAAUUGAGGUAGGCGGAAUGAGUAGUGUAGCGGUGAAAUGCUUAGAUAUUACUCAGAACACCAAUUGCGAAGGCAGCUUACCAAGCUAUAAUUGACGCUGAGGCACGAAGGCGU